rnacentral:rRNA from 1 species
CAGCAGCCGCGGGAAUACGAAGGGGGCUAGCGUUGUUCGGAUUUACUGGGCGUAAAGCGCACGUAGGCGGAUUCUUAAGUCAGAGGUGAAAUCCCAAGGCUCAACCUUGGAACUGCCUUUGAUACUGGGGAUCUUGAGUUCGGGAGAGGUGAGUGGAACUGCGAGUGUAGAGGUGAAAUUCGUAGAUAUUCGCAAGAACACCAGUGGCGAAGGCGGCUCACUGGCCCGAUACUGACGCUGAGGCGCGAAAGCGUGGGGAGCAAACAGGAUUAGAUACCCGAGUAGUCCCUGUCUCUUAUAC